UACAGAGGGUGCAAGCGUUGCUCGGAUUUACUGGGCGUAAAGCGUACGCAGACGGUAAGGAAGGUCGAAUGUGAAAGCCCCGGGCUCAACCCGGGAAAUGCAUCCGAAACCCCCUUGCUAGAGUAUGAGAGAGGGAAGCGGAAUUCCUGGUGUAGAGGUGAAAUUCGUAGAUAUCAGGAGGAACAUCGGCGGCGAAGGCGGGUCUCUGGGCAGUAACUGACGCUGAGGAGCGAAAGCGUGGGGAGCGAACAGG
rnacentral:rRNA from 1 species